rnacentral:lncRNA from 1 species
CUAGCAUUUAUUUCUCUCUAGCAUCCUAACUUCAAUCACAACCACACAUGGGACAACACAACCAAACAAACAUGUAUCAACUACCAAUCAGCCAUUACCACAACAAUUCAAUUCAGUUCAUCAAGUCCCAUUUAUCAAUAUGAGGGUUCUUAUGCAUCAUGAUCCAUUCCUCUAUCAUCCUAGCAAUACCAUGUACUAUCAACCUAACUCCCAAACAGGGUCUAAUCAAACCUAACUCCAACAUAUAGGAGUAUACAGAACCAUGAAAGAAGGUUGGGUUCGAAACACUCCAC